rnacentral:rRNA from 1 species
AUUUUCCGGUUGAUCCCGCCGGAGGCUAUUGCUAUCGGUGUCCGAUUUAGCCAUGCGAGUUGCACGUAUAACGUAGCAAACUGCUCAGUAACACGUGGCCAAACUGCCCUAUGGAUCGGGAUAACCUCGGGAAACUGAGGCUAAUCCCGAAUAGUACAUCCGACCUGGAAUUGGUGGAUGUGUGAAAUGCUCCGGCGCCAUAGGAUGUGGCUGCGGCCGAUUAGGUAGACGGUGGGGUAACGGCCCACCGUGCCGAUAAUCGGUACGGGUCAUGAGAGUGAGAGCCCGGAGACGGACUCUGAGACACGAGUCCGGGCCCUACGGGGCGCAGCAGGCGCGAAACCUUUACACUGCACGCCAGUGCGAUAGGGGGACACCGAGUGCGAGGGCAUAGAGCCCUCGCUUUUGUAGACCGUAAGGAGGUCUACGAAUAAGGGCUGGGCAA